GUAUUUACGUCCUUCUCCCCCAGCGGAAUUUUAACAUAAAAAAACAUCAUAACAGGUAUUCCUAAAAUAAUUCUUAGGCGUUGGUAAGAAAAAGGCUGAAGGAUAACUUUACCACUUUGCCAGGAGAGGCGAACAGCAGCGUGGACAAAUGCCUACGCCACUGCUCAGCUCUUCGAAAAACACACUCAUCCCGGGCGCCGCCGGAAGUAGGUGCCGGAAGUGGGCUGUCCCGCGCGCGGUUCGCUGGGACUUGUAGUUGGGGGCCCAUGGCGAGGGCACRGGUCAGUUUGCGGAUCACUGCGUUGCCAGGUGUGGGAUCUCACGUGGGAGGAAUCUGCAUUUCCCUGAGAGGAAGAUAUGACAAAGUUCCAGGAGACAUGAAUGAAAGUUCUGUGGAAAACCAAGAGAAAGAACUUCAGGAUCUGUUAUGGCAUCUACUGGCUAAUUUUGAAAGAGAUGACAAUAUAAUACCUGGAAUCUGGAUUAUAAACCCUUAAAGAAGUACAUGGGGAUCCUGAGAUAUUUCCCUGUGUCAAAAGUGGAGAGAAGCAUCUUGUCAUAGUUCCAGAAACAGGAAUAGUGUAGUUACUCUUCAAAGUGAUGAUUUCAGAAACAUUGCAAAUGAAAUAUAUUUG
rnacentral:lncRNA from 1 species